UGCCAAGUAUCUUUACUGUCAUUCUGACC
rnacentral:piRNA from 1 species